rnacentral:rRNA from 1 species
GAUGAACGCUGGCGGCGUGCCUAAUACAUGCAAGUAGAACGCUGAAGGAAGGAGCUUGCUCUUUCCGGGUGAGUUGCGAACGGGUGAGUAACGCGUAGGUAACCUGCCUGGUAGCGGGGGAUAACUAUUGGAAACGAUAGCUAAUACCGCAUAAUAGUAGAUGUUGCAUGAUAUCUACUUAAAAGGUGCAAUUGCUCCACUACCAGAUGGACCUGCGUUGUCUUAGCUAGGUGGUGAGGUAACGGCCCACCAAGGCGACGGAACAUUGCCCACCCGGGAGGGGGGACGGCCCACCUGGGAAUGGGGCGAGGCCCAGGACCCCUCGGGAAGGAACAGGAGGGGAUCCUCGGCAAAGGGCGGAAGGCUGACCGGGCCACGCCGGGGUGGGGGAGGAGGUUUUCGGAUCGUAAAGCUCUGUUUAAAGGGAAGGACGAGAGUGGGAGGUGAAAGUUCACGCUGUGACGGUAUCUUACCAGAAAGGGACGGCUAACUACGUG